UGGUCAAUGAGAAGUAGCAGAUUCCAGG
rnacentral:piRNA from 1 species